GUAGCCCUAUUUACAUUGGUUUAAUUCCUUUCUUUAUCA
rnacentral:tRNA from 1 species